rnacentral:misc_RNA from 1 species
GAUCUGCACUUACAAUAGUUCAACAUGUACACUUAGUAGAUAAAACAAAGAUCCUGAAAAGGCAACAUUUCUACAAAGAGUCUUGAAUUAACAUACAACAUAGGAAGGAAAAUGAUGGAUGGACUCAACAGAUAAUAAGAGAGAAAUGAACAACCUGAAAUCUUCUGAUAUAAUUAUAUUCACAUAGAUCUCUCUGAUGCCAGAUCAAGCAACGUGCGGAAGAGCUGUUGCGGAUACAGGGGAGGUUGCUCUGAAAGUGCCUCGCCAGUGUCAGCAUGAACAAACGCAUCAAUACGCGAAAAUCCUUCUAGUUAUAGAGUGUUUGCAAUAAGUUCAAUACGCUUUUUACACCUUUCCAAGGCCGCACUACUCAUAAUAGAAGGUGGAGGUGGAGUCAGAUUGAUGCCAGUUCCACCUUGGAAUUUCUCCUCCAGUGAUAAUAUGCCUCCAGAUUCUUUCACGGUUACACUAGGAGUCAAUGAACGCAUUGCUCCACGUUUUCCUACAACACCUACAGUGACCUCUACCCAUCUACUAUCCCCUUUCCAGAGCAAAUUGUGUGCAUUCUCAUUUCUGGAUUUGGAUGCAACUACUAUCUCAUCAGUCUCGACAAAAGGUUCGAAU